CCUACGGGUGGCUGCAGUGGGGAAUAUUGGACAAUGGGCGAAAGCCUGAUCCAGCCAUGCCGCGUGUGUGAAGAAGGCCUUCGGGUUGUAAAGCACUUUCAGUGGGGAAGAAAGCCUUGGGGCUAAUACCCUCGAGGAAGGACAUCACCCACAGAAGAAGCACCGGCUAACUCCGUGCCAGCAGCCGCGGUAAUACGGAGGGUGCGAGCGUUAAUCGGAAUUACUGGGCGUAAAGCGCGCGUAGGCGGUCUGAUAAGCCGGUUGUGAAAGCCCCGGGCUCAACCUGGGAACGGCAUCCGGAACUGUCAGGCUAGAGUGCAGGAGAGGAAGGUAGAAUUCCCGGUGUAGCGGUGAAAUGCGUAGAGAUCGGGAGGAAUACCAGUGGCGAAGGCGGCCUUCUGGACUGACACUGACGCUGAGGUGCGAAAGCGUGGGUAGCAAACAGGAUUAGAUACCUUUAGUC
rnacentral:rRNA from 1 species